GAUCAUCCAGUUGGGCCAAUCACUCAGGCCCGUGCGAGAGAAUUAAACUUCAUCAUGCUGUUAAGGACAGAAGGCCCAGCGGAAUAAGAAGAUGGCCCAACAGGGCAGCCUAGGUGGGGCGCCUAGGGUUGGGAGCCGCGGUCCUCCCCCUGGUCACGCGCGCCCCCCCUCCUGCCAUGGCGCCUCCUCCGGACUCCAGGGGCUGCGCCCCCUUUAUUUAGUCAGAGUCCCUUUUGUUUACGACUUGAGUUUUGUUUUACAUCUAGCUUUAGCUACUCUCAAACACGUGCAAAUACGC
rnacentral:lncRNA from 1 species